GACGAACGCUGGCGGCGUGCUUAACACUUGCAAGUCGAACGGUGAAGCGCCUUCCUUUUUGGUGGGUGUGGAUGAGUGGCGAACGGGUGAGUAACACGUGAGUAACCUGCCCCCUUCUUCUGGAUAACCGCAUGAAAGUGUGGCUAAUACGGGAUAUUCUGGGUCUGUCGCAUGAUGGGUCUGGGAAAGAUAUUGUUUCGGUGGGGGAUGGGCUCGCGGCCUAUCAGCUUGUUGGUGGGGUGAUGGCCUACCAAGGCGGUGACGGGUAGCCGGCCUGAGGGGGUGGACGGUCACACUGGGACUGGGACACGGCCCAGACUCCUACGGGAGGCAGCGGUGGGGAAUAUUGCACAAUGGGCGAAAGCCUGAUGCAGCGACGCAGCGUGAGGGAUGGAGGCCUGCGGGUUGUGAACCUCUUUCGCCAGUGAAGCAGGCCUGCCUCGUUUGUGGGUGGGUUGACGGUAGCUGGAUAAGAAGCGCCGGCUAACUACGUG
rnacentral:rRNA from 1 species